rnacentral:rRNA from 1 species
GCUGAAGGAGGAGCUUGCUUCUCCGGAUGAGUUGCGAACGGGUGAGUAACGCGUAGGUAACCUGCCUGGUAGUGGGGGAUAACUAUUGGAAACGAUAGCUAAUACCGCAUAAUAGCAGUUGUUGCAUGACAACUGUUUGAAAGGUGCAAUUGCACCGCUACCAGAUGGACCUGCGUUGUAUUAGCUAGUUGGUGGGGUAACGGCUCACCAAGGCGACGAUACAUAGCCGACCUGAGAGGGUGAUCGGCCACACUGGGACUGAGACACGGCCCAGACUCCUACGGGAGGCAGCAGUAGGGAAUCUUCGGCAAUGGACGGAAGUCUGACCGAGCAACGCCGCGUGAGUGAAGAAGGUUUUCGGAUCGUAAAGCUCUGUUGUAAGAGAAGAACGAGUGUGAGAGUGGAAAGUUCACACUGUGACGGUAUCUUACCAGAAAGGGACGGCUAACUACGUGCCAGCAGCCGCGGUAAUACGUAGGUCCCGAGCGUUGUCCGGAUUUAUUGGGCGUAAAGCGAGCGCAGGCGGUUAGAUAAGUCUGAAGUUAAAGGCUGUGGCUUAACCAUAGUACGCUUUGGAAACUGUUUAACUUGAGUGCAAGAGGGGAGAGUGGAAUUCCAUGUGUAGCGGUGAAAUGCGUAGAUAUAUGGAGGAACACCGGUGGCGAAAGCGG